UCCCAUUAGCUAGUUGGUGAGGUAACGGCUCACCAAGGCGACGAUGGGUAGGGGAACUGAGAGGUUGAACCCCCACACUGGUACUGAGACACGGACCAGACUCCUACGGGAGGCAGCAGUGAGGAAUAUUGGUCAAUGGGCGAGAGCCUGAACCAGCCAAGUCGCGUGAAGGAUGACUGUCUUAUGGAUUGUAAACUUCUUUUAUACGGGAAUAACAAGAGCCACGUGUGGCUCCCUGCAUGUACCGUAUGAAUAAGCAUCGGCUAACUCCGUGCCAGCAGCCGCGGUAAUACGGAGGAUGCGAGCGUUAUCCGGAUUUAUUGGGUUUAAAGGGUGCGUAGGCGGCCUGUUAAGUCAGCGGUGAAAUCUAGGAGCUUAACUCCUAAAUUGCCAUUGAUACUGGCGGGCUUGAGUGUAGAUGAGGUAGGCGGAAUGCGUGGUGUAGCGGUGGAAUGCAUAGAUAUCACGCAGAACUCCGAUUGCGAAGGCAGCUUACUAAGGUACAACUGACGCUGAAGCACGAAAGCGUGGGUAUCAAACAGGAUUAGAUAUCCUGGUAGUCCACGCAGUAAACGAUGAUAACUGGGCGUAUGCGAUAUACAGUAUGCUCC
rnacentral:rRNA from 1 species